GUGGCCUUCCCGCGCCCGCCCGUCGGGGCAGAGCCGCCGGCCUGAGACGGAGGGCGCUGCUGAGCCCAGGGGUUGAGAGUCCUGGUUCCUGCUGUGGUCCCGGAGCUCCACCUGAGACCGGAGGGAAGCCGUCUGCCCUAUCAAGGUUAUGCUAGUCUUAUGAAACAAGGAGGAGAGUGUUCCUGGUUUACCCCAAGAGUUCCUGUGAGAUUGCUGUUUACUUCCCUGGCUUUUUGGAAGAAUUGAUUGGCAAAACAAGUAAAGCAUUUCCCACUGCUAGGAAUUUAGUGAGGCCAGCAGACUCUACAAUUGGAGUUGGCCACAUCUCAACAACUAAAGGCAUGCAGGGAGCAGCUUCUUACAAGAGAAGCGGAAAUCGCGGAGCUGAAAGCCGAAAGGAACAACACCAGGCUGCUGCUGGAACACCUGGAGAUCCUGGUUUCCCGGUAUGUGCCGUCCCUCCGGAUGACGGCGGGCCCGCAGCAGGCGCAGUCCCCAGCCAGCAUGACCAGCGAGGUGGAGCUGCUCAGGGCCCUGAGAUUGCUCUUUGAGCACCACAAGGCCCUGGACGAGAAGUGGAGAGAGCAACUACGACACGCUCUCGAAAGGUGUAGUUCC